rnacentral:lncRNA from 1 species
UCACUUACCAUCUCUGAAAAUUAUAAAAGAGGACGCAGAGAUAACAGGGAAAGAGGGAUGGAAAACCUUUCUGCAGAUUCCGUCAGCCACUUUUGUUCUAACAAAAUCAGCGAAAGCAGUUGUUCCGCUCGACAAACAGAGUUCAUAGAGAUGUAUGGGCCUUAAGGGACUAGGUCCAAGAACCAGAAUUAGCCACUCAACUUGUGGAAUCUGAGGGAUCAAGAGCUAAAGAGCAGUCUUGAAAUUAGAGACAGUUGAUUAGUUUUUCCAGUCUUCUGAUACCCU